rnacentral:lncRNA from 1 species
UUUAAGGCCAGUUUCGAAGGGUAUGCGGCUGGCAUUGCGAAAGGGGUGGCUCCGAAGGCGAGAUUGGCGGUUUAUAAGGUAUGUUGGAAGAGUUCUGGUUGUUUUGAUAGUGAUAUUUUAGCUGCUUUUGAUGCUGCUGUUAAUGAUGGUGUGAAUGUGAUUAGUAUUAGUAUUGGUGGUGGGGAUGGGAUAUCGUCGCCUUAUUAUCUUGAUCCUAUUGCGAUUGGGUCGUUUGGGGCGGUGUCGAGGGGGGUGUUUGUUUCGUCGUCUGCAGGGAAUGAUGGGCCUAAUGGGAUGUCGGUGACGAAUGUGGCUCCGUGGAUUAUGACGGUGGGUGCGGGGACGAUUGAUAGGAAUUUCCCAGCUGAUGUAAUUUUGGGGGAUGGGAGGAAGAUCAGCGGGGUUUCGUUGUAUUCGGG